AUAUCAAUAAGCGGAGGAAAAGAAACCAACAGGGAUUGCCCUAGUAACGGCGAGUGAAGCGGCAAUAGCUCAAAUUUGAAAUCUGGCCUUUGGCCCGAGUUGUAAUUUGAAGAGGAUGCUUUUGGUGCGGCGCCUUCUGAGUUCCCUGGAACGGGACGCCACAGAGGGUGAGAGCCCCGUAUAGCUGGACGCCUAGCCUCUAUAAAGCUCCUUCGACGAGUCGGGUAGUUUGGGAAUGCUGCUCAAAUGGAAGGUG
rnacentral:rRNA from 1 species